AACGAACGCUGGCGGCGUGCCUAAUACAUGCAAGUCGAACGAAGAAAGCCUUUCGGGGCAAGUAAGAGUGGCGAACGGGUGAGGAACACGUGGAUAAUCUGCCCUUUGGCGGGGAAUAACCAAUCGAAAGGUUGGCUAAUACCGCAUAAGACCACAGUAGCUGCGGCUACAGAGGUUAAAGAUUUAUUACCAAAGGAUGAGUCCGCGUCCGAUUAGCUAGUUGGUGGGGUAAAGGCCUACCAAGGCGACGAUCGGUAACUGGUCUGAGAGGAUGAUCAGUCACACUGGAACUGAGACACGGUCCAGACUCCUACGGGAGGCAGCAGUAGGGAAUAUUGGUCAAUGGGGGAAACCCUGAACCAGCGACGCCGCGUGAGCGAUGAAGGCCUUC
rnacentral:rRNA from 1 species